AUACGUAGGGAGCGAGCGUUGUCCGGAAUUACUGGGUGUAAAGGGAGCGUAGGCGGGAGUGCAAGUCAGAUGUGAAAUACAUGGGCUCAACCCAUGGGCUGCAUUUGAAACUGCAUUUCUUGAGUGAAGUAGAGGUAAGCGGAAUUCCUGGUGUAGCGGUGAAAUGCGUAGAUAUCAGGAGGAACACCGGUGGCGAAGGCGGCUUACUGGGCUUUUACUGACGCUGAGGCUCGAAAGCGGGGGGAGCAAACAGGAUUAGAUACCCUGGUAGUCCACGCUGUAAACGAUGAUUACUAGGUGUGGGGGGACUGACCCCUUCCGUGCCGCAGUUAACACAAUAAGUAAUCCACCUGGGGAGUACGGCCGCAAGGUUGAAACUCAAAUGAAUUGACGGGG
rnacentral:rRNA from 1 species